rnacentral:lncRNA from 1 species
UCCAUUUAUACGUUACAAAAGCAGGUCAAAUUUGGCAAUCCCUCUCCAAAUAUUUUCAUAAACGUAAAAAAUCUGGAUUACAAUCCUAUUCAUUGCUUCAAGAACAAGAGAAACCAUAGCUGUUUUCAAAAAUGACUUACAUCAACAAAUUAAGCAAACUUCGCAAUUUUUACAGCAAAACUAAUUCAUAAAUUAUCACAAGCACUAGGUGUGCCUCACUCCCCCUCAUUCCUCUCCCUUUCCCAUCACUUUAAAAACUUUGAGAAAAUAAAAUAAAAAUUCAAAAGAAAGGGAAAGGAUUCUUACAAUGGAAAAGGCACGAGCUCGAAUGACGAAAUAGUACCAAUGAAGUUACGUAAAACUUCAUCAGAAAUUGAACUUGAAAGAACAAUCUCACUAUGUAUUGAAAUUUCUUCAGCUUUCUCCAUGUGGAAGAAGAAGAGAAUGGAAGGUGGGUUGUGGAUUUAGAAAGUCUGGGCGGGUUCUGGG